rnacentral:rRNA from 1 species
UACGGAGGGGGCAAGCGUUGUUCGGAAUUAUUGGGCGUAAAGGGCGCGUAGGCGGCCGAAUAAGUCUGACGUGAAAUCCCCCGGCCCAACCGGGGAACUGCGUUUGAAACUGUUCGGCUCGAGUCCGGGAGAGGGUAGUGGAAUUCCCAGUGUAGCGGUGAAAUGCGUAGAUGUUGGGAGGAACACCGGUGGCGAAGGCGGCUACCUGGACCGGUACUGACGCUGAGGCGCGAAGGCCAGGGGAGCAAACGGG